GAUCAUGGCUCAGGAUGAACGCUAGCUACAGGCUUAACACAUGCAAGUCGAGGGGCAGCAUGGUCUUAGCUUGCUAAGACUGAUGGCGACCGGCGCACGGGUGAGUAACGCGUAUCCAACCUGGCCCAUAGUAGGGAACAGCCCGGCGAAAGUCGGAUUAAUGCCCUAUGUUAUCCGUAGACGGCAUCAGAUGCGGAGCAAAGAUUUAUCGCUAUGGGAUGGGGAUGCGUCUGAUUAGGUAGUAGGCGGGGCAACGGCCCACCUAGCCGACGAUCAGUAGGGGUUCUGAGAGGAAGGUCCCCCACAUUGGAACUGAGACACGGUCCAAACUCCUACGGGAGGCAGCAGUGAGGAAUAUUGGUCAAUGGGCGUGAGCCCUGAACCAGCCAAGUAGCGUGAGGGAAGACGGCCCUACGGGUUGUAAACCUCUUUUGCCGGGGAAUAAAGUUCGGGACGCGUCCCGUUUUGUAUGUACCCGGAGAAUAAGGACCGGCUAAUUCCGUGCCAGCAGCCGC
rnacentral:rRNA from 1 species